UACGUAGGGGGCAAGCGUUGUCCGGAUUUAUUGGGCGUAAAGAGCGUGUAGGCGGCUUUGCAAGUCCGUUGUGAAAACUCGAGGCUCAACCUCGAGACGCCGGUGGAAACUGCAAAGCUAGAGUCCGGAAGAGGAGAGUGGAAUUCCUGGUGUAGCGGUGAGAUGCGCAGAUAUCAGGAAGAACACCCGUGGCGAAGGCGGCUCUCUGGGACGGUACUGACGCUGAGACGCGAAAGCGUGGGGAGCGAACAGG
rnacentral:rRNA from 1 species